rnacentral:rRNA from 1 species
CCUACGGGAGGCAGCAGUGAGGAAUAUUGGUCAAUGGGCGCAAGCCUGACCCAGCAACGCCGCGUGAAGGAAGAAGGGUUUCGGCUCGUAAACUUCUAUCAACAGGGACGAAAGAAAUUACGGUACCUGAAUAAGAAACCCCCGCUAACUACGUGCCAGCAGCCGCGGUAAUACGGAGGGGCAAAACUGCAUCCGGAAUUAGUGUGUUGAAGGGUUGAUUAGUGGGCAGGGUAAGGCAGCUGUGAAAUCCUUGGGCUUAACGCGAGGAGUGCUUGUGGAACUAGCAAGCUAGAGUACAGGAGAGGAAAGCGGAAUGACUAGUGUAGCGGUGAAAUGCGUAGAUAUUAGGAAGAACACCAGUUGCGAAGGCGGCUUUCUGGACUGAAACUGACGCUGAGGCACGAAAGCGUGGGGAGCGAACAGGAGUAGAUACCCGAGUAGUC